rnacentral:rRNA from 1 species
UACGGGGGGGGCAAGCGUUGUUCGGAAUUACUGGGCGUAAAGGGCGCGUAGGCGGCCGAUCAAGUCAGGCGUGAAAUUCCCGGGCUCAACCUGGGGGCUGCGCUUGAUACUGAUUGGCUUGAAUGCGGGAGAGGAUAGUGGAAUUCCCUGUGUAGAGGUGAAAUUCGUAGAUAUUGGGAAGAACACCAGUGGCGAAGGCGGCUAUCUGGCCCGUUAUUGACGCUGAGGCGCGAAAGCGUGGGGAGCAAACAGG